GCCGGGCAUGGUGGCGCGUGCCUGUAAUCCCAGCUACUCAGGAGGCUGAGGCAGAAGAAUCGCUUGAACCCGGGAGGCGGAGGUUGCAGUGAGCCGAGAUCUUGCCACUGCACUACAGCCUGGGUGACAGAGCGAGACUCUGUCUGGG
ensembl:misc_RNA Metazoa_SRP Metazoan signal recognition particle RNA